rnacentral:rRNA from 1 species
AUGCUCAAGGAAGAGGGGUUGCGCAAAGCUGCCAUCGAGGAAAGAAAAGCACGCGCCUCUGAAAACAAAUCGAUGUCAUUGUUGCUCGCCGAAGAGAACAAGAUCAUGUCAAUGAACCGCAAUGACAUGGACGACGUCACCAAAACAUGGCAUGAUAUGGCAAGGAGAGAGAUCUUGAAUUGGAGAAUGGUCGCCUCGGCCGGUCCGUCUGCCAGUUCCGGUGAUGUUUUCUCUGCUCCAUAUGGUGACAAUGUGGAUGAUUUUGGUGCGGGAGUUGGAAUAAGCGACGGAGGUGGCUACGGUGGCUACGGUGGCGCCGAUGAACUUCAAGAUGGACUCCAUGGCGCGGAGUGA